UACGUAGGUGGCAAGCGUUGUCCGGAUUCAUUGGGCGUAAAGGGUGCGUAGGCGGCGCGGUAAGUCGGGUGUGAAAUCUCGGAGCUUAACUCCGAAACUGCAUUCGAUACUGCCGUGCUUGAGGACUGGAGAGGAGACUGGAAUUUACGGUGUAGCGGUGAAAUGCGUAGAUAUCGUAAGGAAGACCAGUGGCGAAGGCGGGUCUCUGGACAGUUCCUGACGCUGAGGAGCGAAAGCGUGGGGAGCGAACAGG
rnacentral:rRNA from 1 species